rnacentral:lncRNA from 1 species
CCGGUGCUCUGGGCAGAGGAUGUUUUUUCACACUGACUCCUGCGGGAGGAGGGGCUCACAGAGCCGCUGAGUUUCGGUUUCCUGGCGCUCAGGGCCUGAGCCCAGGGCGGAGAAACAGAGAGAAAAAGCAGCCCUGAGGCGCAGGGGUCAUGCUCUCGGCCAGGCACGCCCUGCCCUUGGAGGAGGGUUUCCAGCUGAGCCCUCUGUCAGCAAGACCCGCGUAGACGGAGCCUGGAAGGGCCCAGCACGGGGGCAGCCAGCCUCUGAGACCCCAGGCCAGGCACCCCCGCCUCCCGCUCCCUCACGGGGACAGACAAGCAGAAAGCCGGGAAGUGGGGGCACCUGGGCCUGGGCAUGGCAUCGGAGCUCCCUUAAGGAGGCUCAGCCUGUCUUCAUUUUGUUCAUGCCUUGUCCCAUCCCUGCCUUCCUGAGUGCCCCAGCCCCAUACACACCACACCCACACUGUGGUCCCCAGGGAGACUUCGGAAGGCCCAGGAAAGGGACCAGGUUCCUGCUUUGCUAAUCGAGAUGAGAGGAAGACUGCAGCCAGCAGUCAGACCACCAGACCACGUCUGUAGACUGCAUCGGUCACUGUGGCUGUGGGAUUAGGACUGACACCAAACCCCAGUGGUUUCAGCCCGUGUGGUCCUCUCCUGCCCGACCCUUCCGAGCACUGGCCCCAGACCUCCGUGGUCCACGCGUCCGCAGCCCGCAGGCUGUCACGGGAUGAAAUACAUGUCAGCUUCCCUGGCCCUCGGACCUUGGUGUUUCCUUCCGGCUUGACGGUUUGGAGGACACCUCCUGAUGGGGGAGGGCAGAGCAGGAGAUCCAGGAACAACCCAGCAGCCCCAGCCAGGGCUCAGGCCUGCAGAGACCUGCCUGCCCCGCCAGUCCCUGCAGGGGACCCAGGUCUGUGGGACUAGGGGCCAUGCCAGCAGGCCAGCCAUGAGUGGGGUCGCUCUGCCAUCCAGUGUCCUGAUGACGGCUCUGUGACAUGCAGAGUGGCUUCCCUCCUCUCUCACAGGGCCCCUGAUUGUCACCUUGGUAGCUUCUUCCCAAGUGCCCUCAGCUGCAGUCAGCGUUAGAAGGGCCUGACUGUGGCUGUUGAGCACACAUUGUAUAUCUGCUUGGACAUUUCCUAUGGCCAGAACAAAGGCCCUUGAGAUAAAGGUCCUCCCCCUCCGACAUUGGCAUUUCCUUAGGGAUAAGCAUCUUUCAUUAGGCUACGAAGUGAUUGCUGCACUCACCUUUGACCACCCAGCUCACCUGUGACCACCCAGCUGGAGACAACAGACUGCCACCCUGCGGGGUUCACUGAGACAGAAGACCUGCCUGCUGUUUCCAUCAAUCGCUGUGCUGACAGAGCAGUCUCGCGACGAUUGUAAAAGGGACAUUUCAAUCCUAUGUGAAACAUCCUCUUUGGGGGUAUAUAACCACUCUGUGCACCCCACUUCUUUGGUGCCCUUUCUUCCUUCGGGAAGAAAGGCCCCAGGUUAUAAUCCUCAAAUUUAAGCUCAGAAUAAACUCACCCAAAUUUUCAUUUAUAGAUUGGUUAUGGAUUAUUUUCGUCGACAUUGGUGAGCCAGGAGCCUGGUGGAGAUUGGAGGAGGAGAGAGCAGUGGGAUUUGACCCGCCACCACCUCCUGCAGGGUCCCCUGGGACAGUCCCUGUCCCCCCACUUCCCAUCGCUUCUCUGGGGCAGUGUCCCCAUGGCCCUCUCACCCCCUUUGCAGCCUGGGCGGUAGGUCGCUCGUGACCCUGCAGCCAGCCCUGGAGGCACUGUGCGUGUCUCUGGUUUCCCGGGGUCCUGCCUACCCCUCUCCAAAUGGUGCUCAGAGGCCACUCUCUCCUGGUUUUCUGACUUGGGUGGUCAUCUGUUUCUGUUGGGAGCCUGAUUGAGACACUGCCUCUGCCUGACUCUCGAGGUGGGGGAGGGACUCCAUCA